rnacentral:rRNA from 1 species
GUGCCAGCAGCUGCGGUAAUACGUAGGGGGCAAGCGUUGUCCGGAAUUAUUGGGCGUAAAGCGCGCGCAGGCGGCUCUUUAAGUCUGGUGUCUAAGUGCGGGGCUCAACCCCGUGACGCACUGGAAACUGGAGGGCUUGAGUGCAGAAGAGGAGAGCGGAAUUCCACGUGUAGCGGUGAAAUGCGUAGAGAUGUGGAGGAACACCAGUGGCGAAGGCGGCUCUCUGGACUGUAACUGACGCUGAGGCGCGAAAGCGUGGGGAGCAAACAGGAUUAGAUAACCCUGGUAGUCCACGCCGUAAACGAUGAGUGCGUAGGUGUU